UGAAAAUAUAUUUGUUUGUGUUUUGAAUUAUGUGAAGCAAUUAUUCCAAAAUUGUUAAUUAAUGUAGGUGACAUCAGGUGCCCUCAACUAAUUUCAGUAAGAAUCUGUUGUGUUUUUGUGUUUUCCUGCCUUCUCCUUUGUCUGCACCUGUGUAUUUAGUGAUUCGUCCUCGGCGAGGGGUGGACCUUGAGGCACACCUGCUCGUAAUUAGCCCGCCAGUAUUUAGGCUCGUCACUGACAGCUUGGCCUUGCCGGUUAUUGUAUCCUGAACCCCUCUCGUGCAUGCGCCUGCUUCACUUCACCAGACCUGCCCCCCUGAGGUAAAAGGAAUUAUUUUCUUGGACUCUUGCCCUGCUCAGUGCGCCCUGGCCGUUUCUCCUGCCGACCUCUGAGGAACCUAUUUUGUCCAGGUUACAUGACCUUAACAGAAUAUUUUAUAUUUCACCUGUAUUUUCCACCAGGGAACUAUCAUUUCAUCUUCUCCAGCUCGUUAAGGACUUUACCAUUCUCACCAAGCUGGUCAGUCAGGUCAGAGAUCUCCUCUACAAAACACAUUUCAAAAUCAGAUUC